CAGCCGCCGCGGUAAUACGAAGGGGGCUAGCGUUGCUCGGAAUGACUGGGCGUAAAGGGCGCGUAGGCGGUUCGUACAGUUGGAUGUGAAAUUCCUGGGCUUAACCUGGGGGCUGCAUUCAAUACGUGCGGGCUUGAGUGUGGAAGAGGGUUGUGGAACUCCCAGUGUAGAGGUGAAAUUCGUUGAUAUUGGGAAGAACACCGGUGGCGAAGGCGGCAACCUGGUCCAUAACUGACGCUGAGGCGCGAAAGCGUGGGGAGCAAACAGGAUUAGAUACCCCCGUAGUCCCUGUCUCUUAUAC
rnacentral:rRNA from 1 species